GUAUGUCUUAGAAAUGUCUUUUUUCCAUCUUCACACUUAAUUGUGUUUGGCUAGGUACAGUAUUCUAGUUUAUAACUGUGUUACAAUUAAAACUUUUAUUUCGGUACCUGGAUUGCUGAAGAGAAGUCUGAUGUCAGUUUGACUCUUGCUUUUUUGUGAUGUGGAAGAUAAAUUGUUCCUGUUUCACUGGUAUCAAGUCAAAUCCUAAUAAUCCAUUUUUCCAUAGUGAAACUGAAUCCCACAGGUCUGUAUCUCCUUUUAAUACUAUCAAAUGAAAUUUCAGAGCCUGGCUCUUGAAAUAUAGAACCUCAUAAUUUUUUAAAAACUUUAACAAAGAGAUGAAAAGAUGUUUCUUCUCUGGUGCAGCAAAGGGAGAGAUGACCUUCCUCAUGUUAAAACUUGGUCAAAGGAUCCAAUGAGAUACUGUCUUAAAUGUGAAGUCUCACAAGGACAUCAGUCUUGUUUCCUAUGUGAUAUGAAUCUUGCACAAAUAUUUACAAUUGCUAUCAGCUCAUUCUGUCCUCUGUAAUACAAAUCUAUUAUCGGAAUUAUCAUUUGAACAAAGGAGUCUUGUAGAUGCUAGACAUUUUAGAAAUUGUUGUCAUGUUAUGUGAACAUAACUUUUAAUGACACUUGUAAUUCUGUCUCACUUGUUAAGACUUGUUAAGAUGGUCUUAUUUGUUGUCCUGGUGCUAAUGUUCUGGUCAACACUUAUGUUCCUAGGUGGUAUAAACAUUGUCAGAAUUAUUCUUUCAAAUCAGAAGAGGAUCCUUGGCUUUCUGCUCUUCCUGUUUGCAUAAUGGACAAAUAAAAGUCUACUUGCUGGAGUGCUUCGUGUAACAGAGAGUGUGUGCAACAUUGUGAUUUGACAAUUCUGUGCAUUACUCAGUCCUUAUCUCGAGCCAGAUGCAUUAUAGGCCAUGAAUCUGUGAGCAGAUGACCACACUUUGUGGGCAAAGAUCUAAGAUCUGCAAGUGUGACCCCCAGGGGCUCUGUACAUGAGUACAGCAUUCUCUGCAUCUCGGUACCAGCUGUGAGAUAUGAGGAAGAAGAGGAAACACCUGCCAUGCUAGAGCUGCCAUGGGCUCAAUGCCUUUCGAAGCCUCUCAGGACUCCCUGGACCCUGGUGUAAACCUUCCUGGAGGAAUUGCUUCACGGAAGUAUGAAUAUCUUAAAUUGGGUGACCCAGAUUACAGGGCUCUGAGAUUAGGGAAGUGAUGCACUUUGCCAGGCCUGGCAGGUGUAAGGGACUGCCUUCAUGGGAGGUGACCUUUGUGUGGAGGAUGCUUUGCAUUUCUGGUACGGACAGUCUGCCUGCUGUUGCUUCUCUCCUCUACAAGUACACUAGGAAAUGCCCUUCCAGUCAGCUUGGCUCCAGUUAAUUUGGGAUAAUUAGGUAAAUAAUUUGUUUCCUACUUUUACUCAGAUUGGCUAUACUUAUUGAGGGCUAGAGUAAGUCAGGCUAAGUACUGAGUGCAUGAUCUCAUUUUUUAAAAAUUUAAAUUCAAUUAACUAACAUAUAGUGUAUUAUUAGUUUCAGAGGUAGAGUUCAGUGAUGCAUCAGCCUUAUAUAAUACCAAGCGCUCAUUAUAUCAUGUGCCCUCCUUAAUGCCCAUCACCCAGUUACCCCAUCCCCCC